UCCCCAGUGGCUUAGUGGUAAAGAAUCUGCCUGCAAUGCAGAAGCUGCAGGAAAUGCAGGUUUGAUCCCUGGAUGGGGAA
rnacentral:tRNA from 1 species